rnacentral:rRNA from 1 species
UACGGAGGGUGCAAGCGUUAUCCGGAUUUACUGGGUUUAAAGGGUGCGUAGGUGGAUAAUUAAGUCAGUGGUGAAAUCUUCAGGCUUAACCUGGAAACUGCCAUUGAUACUAUUUGUCUUGAAUACUUUGGAGGUAAGCGGAAUAUGUCAUGUAGCGGUGAAAUGCUUAGAUAUGACAUAGAACACCAAUUGCGAAGGCAGCUAACUAAGCUUUAACUGACGCUGAGGCACGAAAGUGUGGGGAUCAAACAGG